rnacentral:rRNA from 1 species
GACGAACGCUGGCGGCGUGCUUAAUACAUGCAAGUCGAACGCUGAAGCCCGGCUUUUGUGCGGUGCUCGAGUGGCGAACGGGUGAGUAACACGUGAGUAACCUGCCCUUUAGUGUGGGAUAACUUCUGGAAACUGGAGCUAAUACCGCAUAUGAGCACCUGCUGCAUGAUGUUGGUUUGAAAGUUGCGGCGGUUGGGGAUGCACACGCGGCUUAUCAGCUUGUUGGUGUGGUAGUGGCUUACACAGGCUUGGACGGGUAGCCAGACUGCGAGGGUGACCGGGCACAUAGGGCUUGAGAAAGCGCCAAGAGGGCUACUGGAGGCAGGAGCGGAGGACUGUGCAAGAUGGGCCGAAUGAGUAAAGAGGAACGUCGGGUCGGGGAUGACGGCUUUCGGGGUGUAACGCGCGUGAGCCUGGGACGAAGAGUGAGUGACGGUAACGGGUAAAGAAGCAACGGCUAACUACGUG